GGAAGUUAAGAAAAUAUUUUUUAACUUUUAACUAAAAAACUAAGAACCAGUUCUUGAAUAAGUACUUUUAGAACCGGUUCUUAGCUUUUUUUAGUUAAAAAUUAAGAAACAGUUUUUUAACUUCC
rfam:Brassica napus, WGS project CCCW01000000 data, contig: 11966